rnacentral:siRNA from 1 species
UCGGGGUGCUGAUUUUGCUUCACC